GGAAGGAUCAUUAACAAAGCUUGAAGUUCGCUCAUCCGCGUCUUCAACAAAUCCAUCCACACCUUGUGCAAUAUUGACAUCGAGGCAAGUUCUUUCGGGAAUUUGCUGGUCUUGUGGGGGGAAAAACCUAAAGGAUAGGCAGCGAUGCUUAACCUUUAAGCCCCCCAAAAGUAUUUAACCUAUACGUUUUUUGUUUGUCUGAAACUUUUUAUUGACACAAUAAAAACAACUUUCAACAACGGAUCUCUUGGUUCUCGCAUCGAUGAAGAACGCAGCGAAAUGCGAUACGUAAUGUGAAUUGCAGAAUUCAGUGAAUCAUCGAAUCUUUGAACGCACAUUGCACUCUUUGGUAACCCGAAGAGUAUGCCUGUUUCAGAUAUAAGUCACUAUGAACUCUGAGGGGGUGGUUUGCCAACUCAGUUUUCAUGACUUGAACUUUCCAGACUCAUUACGCGUCUGGUGGUUUAAAAUAAAAGCAUGGACGGUCUUCUUGACUCAUCCACACGCAAAAGUGUAAUACGAGCUGUCAAAGGCUUCAUUCACUUCUUGCUAGGACGUCAGAUGUAUCGAUUUAAUCCAUGGUCGCAGGAAAUCUGGGGACUACGCAAGUAGAACCUAUCCAUAGCGGCAUCUGAAAUCAGGUAGGACUACCCGCUGAACUUAAGCAUAUCAAUAAGCGGAGGAAAAGAAACUAACAAGGAUUCCCCUAGUAACGGCGAGUGAAGCGGGAAAAGCUCAAAUUUGAAACCUGGCCUCUUUGAGGAAAAUGUCGCAGGGUUGUAGUUUAUAGAGGCGUUUUCGAUGGAAUCCUGGGUAUAAGUCUUUUGGAACAAGGCAUCAUAGAGGGUGAGAAUCCCGUCUUUGACUCAGAGUUUUCCAUUAUGUGAUACGUCUUCAUAGAGUCGAGUUGUUUGGGAAUGCAGCUCAAAAUGGGUGGUAAAUCUCAUCUAAAGCUAAAUAUUGGCGAGAGACCGAUAGCGAACAAGUACCGUGAGGGAAAGAUGAAAAGAACUUUGAAAAGAGAGUUAAACAGUACGUGAAAUUGUUGAAAGGGAAACGUUUGAAAUCAGUCAUUUCUUCUGGAAAUCAGCCUUGCUUUUGCAUGGUGUAUUUUCCAGUUGAAAGGUUAACGUCAAUUUUGGUUGUCGGAUAAAAGCCUUUGGAAUGUGGCUCUCUUCGGGGAGUGUUAUAGCCAAGGUCAAUACGAUGACUGGGAUUGAGGAUUCGCCGCCAAUGCUCUCUGGGCAGUGGCAUCAUGCGCUCAGGUCAACACUCUGCUAGACAGCUUGCUGACUAGUAGUUUGAAGAUUUGACUCGUGUGGUUCCCACUAAUUGGCGUAGGACGUUAACUUAAUGGUUUUAAACGACCCGUCUUGAAACACGGACCAAGGAGUCUAACAUAUAUGCGAGUAUUUGGGUGGCAAACCCAUAUGCGUAAUGAAAGUGAACAUAGGUGGGAUCCUCACGGAGCACCAUCGACCGGUCUGGAUUUUUUAAUGAAAGAUCUGAGUAAGAGCAUAUAUGCUGGGACCCGAAAGAUGGUGAACUAUGCCUGAAUAGGGUGAAGCCAGGGGAAACCCUGGUGGAGGCUCGUAGCGAUUCUGACGUGCAAAUCGAUCGUCAAAUUUGGGUAUAGGGGCGAAAGACUAAUCGAACCAUCUAGUAGCUGGUUCCUGC
rnacentral:misc_RNA from 1 species